GAAAAAUGGAAUCAACCUCUACUGAUCAUGAAGCGCAGACAAACGCCUUGUUGCAGCUGCAGCAGCAGUGGUGCUGGAGCAGCAGGCGGCGCUGCACCAACAGUUUAUCCUGCACCUGCAGCCGCAGCCGCAGCAGCAGCAGCAACAGCAGCCUCAGCCGCAGCCGCAACAACAGCAGCAACAGCAGACGCAGCCGCAUGACCUAGAUAAACCUAAGCGCAAAAGAGGAACAGCGGCGGGUACGCGUUGCCGGUACCCUCCCAAAUGGCCACGUGGCGGGAGGGGCGGCGGCCCAAAUAAAU